AUGGAGACCUGUAUGAAUGGCAUCACGAGGGCUUAACUGUCUCCUUUCUUAGGCCAGUGAAAUUGAUCUCCCCGUGCAGAAGCGGGGAUAAAAACAUAAGACGAGAAGACCCUAUGGAGCUUUAGACACCAAGACAGCUUACGUCAAGAACCCGGUAUGAAAGAUUGAACUACAUAAAUCCUGUCCUAAUGUC
rnacentral:rRNA from 1 species